CUACGGGGGGCUGCAGUGAGGAAUAUUGCACAAUGGAGGAAACUCUGAUGCAGCAACGCCGCGUGGAGGAUGACGCAUUUCGGUGUGUAAACUCCUUUUAUAUGUCAAGAAAAUGACGGUAGCAUAUGAAUAAGCACCGGCUAACUCCGUGCCAGCAGCCGCGGUAAUACGGAGGGUGCAAGCGUUACUCGGAAUCACUGGGCGUAAAGGACGCGUAGGCGGGAUAUCAAGUCAGGUGUGAAAUCCUACAGCUUAACUGUAGAACUGCACUUGAAACCGGUAACCUAGAGUAUGGGAGGGGGAGAUGGAAUUAGUGGUGUAGGGGUAAAAUCCGUAGAUAUCACUAGGAAUACCUAAAGCGAAGGCGAUCUCCUGGAACAUAACUGACGCUAAGGCGUGAAAGCGUGGGGAGCAAACAGGAUUAGAUACCCGAGUAGUC
rnacentral:rRNA from 1 species